rnacentral:rRNA from 1 species
CCUACGGGAGGCAGCAGUGAGGAAUAUUGGUCAAUGGCCGUAAGCCUGAACCAGCCAAGUCGCGUGAGGGAUGAAGGUUCUAUGGAUUGUAAACUUCUUUUAUAUGGGAAUAAAGUUCUGUACGUGUCCAGUUUUGUAUGUACCCUAUGAAUAAGGAUCGGCUAACUCCGUGCCAGCAGCCGCGGUAAUACGGAGGAUCCGAGCGUUAUCCGGAUUUAUUGGGUUUAAAGGGUGCGUAGGCUGUCUUUUAAGUCAGCGGUGAAAGUUUGUGGCUCAACCAUAAAAUUGCCGUUGAAACUGGGAGUCUUGAGUGUGUUUGAGGCAGGCGGAAUGCGUGGUGUAGCGGUGAAAUGCAUAGAUAUCACGCAGAACCCCGAUUGCGAAGGCAGCUUACUAGGCCAUAACUGACGCUGAUGCACGAAAGCGUGGGGAUCAAACAGGAUUAGAUACCCGUGUAGUC